GAAAAAUGGGGCAGAUGAACUAUGUAAGAUUGUAAAAUCUUACACUGCAGUUAUUAAAAAAAAAUGUGCAAGGUCAAGAUAGACCCUGGUGCUGCCUCGUGUAGCAAACACCGGGGAAAGAAAGCCUGCGGCCCCCGUCCCAGCAAACUGGGUGCCAGAGCUUGGGCCUGGGGGUCUUGGGGUCCCGUCUCCCCAGCAGCCUGUGUGGAGACAGCGUGGUUCCUAAGACGCUGCCCUAACCUGGAGGCAGCCCGGCAGAAACUGCCCUGAGACUUGGGAGCUGACAGAAAAAACGGUGUAAAUGCAGCAGGUGGGAGGGCAGAAACAUGAGCGGUGAAGCGAGAGGAGCCAGGGGCGCCGAUGAGCUGGGGGCGGCCGCCCCGCAGACCAGGCCGCUGGUUUAGAGCCUUUCAGUGAGUCGCACCUAGGAGAGAACGGGAACCAGGCUGUAGCAACCCAAGGAGAGCGGUGUCCAGGGUGGUGAGUGAGCCUCCAGGAGGAGACACAACAGCGCACCCAGAGCUUUCCAGGCAAAGCUGCCUCGAUGGACUGGUCCUCCGCCCUCAGGGCCUGUUGAGUGACUGAAAUGCUUGGUGUCGGUGUCCUGCUUCUGCCUAUUGAACCCCUGUGACCAUGUGAGCAGUCUCCACGGCGGUUCCAUGUGCUCCUGAGAAGAAGGGAUUUUUCUCUAUUUUAGG
ensembl:lncRNA